rnacentral:rRNA from 1 species
AUUGAACGCUGGCGGCAUGCUUUACACAUGCAAGUCGAACGGUAACAGGGAGCUUGCUCCGCUGACGAGUGGCGAACGGGUGAGUAAUGCGUCGGAACGUGCCGAGUAGUGGGGGAUAACGCAUCGAAAGGUGUGCUAAUACCGCAUACGUACUGAGGUAGAAAGUGGGGGACCUUCGGGCCUCACGCUAUUCGAGCGGCCGACGUCUGAUUAGCUAGUUGGUGAGGUAAAGGCUCACCAAGGCGACGAUCAGUAGCGGGUCUGAGAGGAUGAUCCGCCACACUGGGACUGAGACACGGCCCAGACUCCGACGGGAGGCAGCAGUGGGGAAUUUUGGACAAUGGGCGCAAGCCUGAUCCAGCCAUGCUGCGUGUCUGGAGAAGGCCUUCGGGUUGUAAAGGACUUUUGUCCGGGAGCAAAUGCCUGGUGUUAAUAGCACUGGGAGCUGAGAGUACCGGAAGAAUAAGCACCGGCUAACUACGUGCCAGCCGCCGCGGUAAAAC